UGAGAGGAAAUAGAGGCUCCCCCAGAUCCUGAUCCUGGACAACUGUGCCCGAGCCAAGCGGCAGUAGCCUAUGCUCCUUAAAGCUGGCCUUCAGUUCCUUUUCCGGGUAACUUGCUGCUGGCUCUGAGAAUCCCUGGACUUGCUGUUUCUCGUUGUUUUUCCUCAGCAGGGUCAGAAACAAGGAUUUAUCCUCAGAAGACUCAGGAUUUCUUUUAUGGGAGCCUCCAGGGUCUCUUUUUCUGCCAGGGGUCUCACUUAACAUAACCUUGAUCCUCUGGCUCUGUGUAGAGGCUAAGCAGGCCUCGUGUCUCUCCUUGUUCCCCUACAGAAGGCCGGGAGUGUGUCAACUGCGGGGCCACAGCCACCCCUCUCUGGCGACGGGAUGGCACGGGCCACUACCUGUGCAAUGCCUGUGGGCUCUACCACAAGAUGAAUGGACAGAAUCGGCCGCUCAUCAAGCCCAAGAGGAGACUGGUAGGGACGGGCACAUCACGGGGCAGGGCAGGGCAGGGCCACAGUGGCCACCCAACUGGGCAGAGCUGGUAGUUACGUGAAGAGGAGAACAAAACAAAACAAAAAAAAAAAAAAAAAAAAAACGAA
rnacentral:lncRNA from 1 species